AUGCUUCGUGGUUUUGCGCGGGUCGAAAUUGAAACAGACUGUUUGGAAGUGGUCAACCUCUGGAAAUCGCGCCGGAAUUCGCGCUCUGUAAUAGCGUCGGUACUUUUAGAUAUUGAGGAGCUUGUUGCUCACUUUACUUAUUUUGACAUUUUUCAUGUUAGGAGACAUGCCAAUGUCCCUGCCCACCUUUGUGCAAAACAUGCAUGCACAUUGGAGGUGACAGAGUGUUGGAUGGACUCCCCCCCGGGGUUCCUGGUCACCAGCCUAAUGGCUGACAUGGCCGGUGGAUCAUCGUAUGAAUAA
rnacentral:rRNA from 1 species